AUGGCGACCGGCGCACGGGUGAGUAACGCGUAUCCAACCUGCCCUUUACUAUGGGACAGCCCGUCGAAAGGCGGAUUAAUACCGUAUGUUGUCAUGUUGAUGCAUAUUUUCAUGACCAAAGGCUUCGGCCGGUAAAGGAUGGGGAUGCGUCUGAUUAGCUUGCCGGCGGGGUAACGGCCCACCGGGGCGACGAUCAGUAGGGGUUCUGAGAGGAAGGUCCCCCACAUGGAACUGAGACACGGUCCAAACUCCUACGGAAGGCAGCAG
rnacentral:rRNA from 1 species